rnacentral:rRNA from 1 species
UACGGGGGGUGCAAGCGUUGCUCGGAAUUAUUGGGCGUAAAGGGCAGGUAGGUGGUCUUAUUUGUCUUGUGUGAAAUCCUUGGGCUUAACUCAAGAAGUGCGCAAGAAACGGUAAGACUAGAGUCCUAGAGAGGCUAGUGGAAUUCCCGGUGUAGCGGUGAAAUGCGUAGAGAUCGGGAGGAACACCAGAGGCGAAGGCGGCUAGCUGGAUAGGCACUGACACUCAACUGCGAAAGCGUGGGGAGCAAACAGG